GAUGAACGCUAGCGGCAGGCUUAAUACAUGCAAGUCGAGGGGCAGCAUGAUUGUAGCAAUACAAUUGAUGGCGACCGGCAAACGGGUGCGGAACACGUACACAACCUCCCAAUAAGUGGGGAAUAGCCCAGAGAAAUUUGGAUUAAUACCCCGUAACAUAACGAUGUGGCAUCACAUUGUUAUUAUAGAUUUUUCGCUUAUUGAUGGGUGUGCGGCUGAAUUAGAUAGUUGGCGGGGUAAAGGCCCACCAAGUCUACGAUCAGUAGCUGAUGUGAGGGCCUGAUAGGCAGCACGGGAACUGAGACACGGGCCCGACUCCUACGGGAGGCAGCAGUAAAGAAUAUUGGACAAUGGACGCAAGUCUGAUCCAGCCAUGCCGCGUGAAGGAUUAAGGUCCUCUGGAUUGUAAACUUCUUUUAUAAGGUACGAAAAAAGGUCUUUCUAGAUCGUCUGACGGUACCUUAUGAAUAAGCACCGGCUAACUCCGUGCCAGCCGUCGCGGUAAAAC
rnacentral:rRNA from 1 species